rnacentral:piRNA from 1 species
UUACUAAACAGAAACAGCUUAAGAGAGAAA